UACGUAGGGUCCGAGCGUUGUCCGGAGUUACUGGGCGUAAAGCGCGCGCAGGUGGUUCAUUAAGCCCGGCGUGAAAGCCCCCGGCUCAACCGGGGAAUGGCGCCCUAAACUGGCGAGCUAGAGUGAGAUAGGGGUGUGUGGAACUUCCGGUGGAGCGGUGAAAUGUGUUGAUAUCGGAAGGAACGCCGGUGGCGAAAGCGACACACUGGAUCUUGUCUGACGCUGAGGCACGAAAGCCAGGGGAGCGAACGGG
rnacentral:rRNA from 1 species